CAUGCAUGUCUAAGUACAAGCCUCAGUAAGGUGAAACCGCGAAUGGCUCAUUAAAUCACACCUAAUCUACUGGAAAGUUACUAGUUACUUGGAUAACUGAGGUAAUUCUUGAGCUAAUACAUGCGAAAAAUCUCGACUCACGGAGAGAUGCUUUUAUUAGAUCAAAACCAAACGGCUUCGGCCGUCUCAUUGGUGACUCUGAAUAACUUUGGGCUGAUCGUAUGGCCUCGUGCCGACGACGUUUCCUUCGAAGGUGUGCCCUAUCAACUGUCGACUGUGAUAUAGACGCUCACAGUGGUUUUGACGGGUAACGGGGAAUCAGGGUUCGAUUCCGGAGAGGGAGCCUUAAAAACGGCUACCACAUCCAAGGAAGGCAGCAGGCACGCAAAUUACCCAAUGAACGAAGUUCGAGGUAGUGACGAAAAAUAACGAUACAGGACUCAUCCGAGGCCCUGUAAUUGGAAUGAGUACACUUUAAAACCGUUCCCGAGGAUCUAUUGGAGGGCAAGUCUGGUGCCAGCAGCCGCGGUAAUUCCAGCUCCAAUAGCGUAUAUUAAAGUUGUUGUGGUUAAAAAGCUCGUAGUUGGAUCUCGGCGGACAGGAGUCGGUCCGAAUGCUUUCGGUACUGGCUUGUUUGUCCGUGUGUUUUGCCAGAGGCAGGCGGGUGCUCUUCACCGAGUGUCCGUUUGUGCUGGCAGGUUUACUUUGAAAAAAUUAGAGUGCUCAAAGCAAGCUCUCACGCUUGAAUAUUCGUGCAUGGAAUAAUAGAAUAGGAUGUCGUUUCUAUUUUGUUGGUUUUCGGAAAUCGACAUAAUGAUUAAUAGGGACAGUCGGGGGCAUUUGUAUUCAAACGACAGAGGUGAAAUUCUUGGACCGUUUGAAGACAAACUACUGCGAAAGCAUUUGCCAAGAAUGUUUUCAUUAAUCAAGAACGAAAGUUAGAGGUUCGAAGGCGAUUAGAUACCGCCCUAGUUCUAACCAUAAACGAUGCCAGCUAGCGAUCUGCAGGCGUUUUACUUUACGACCUUGCAGGGAGCUUCCGGGAAACCAAAGCUUGUGGGUUCCAGGGGAAGUAUGGUUGCAAAGCUGAAACUUAAAGGAAUUGACGGAAGGGCACCACCAGGAGUGGAGCCUGUGGCUUAAUUUGACUCAACACGGGAAAUCUCACCAGGCCCGGACACGAGAAGGAUUGACAGAUUGAUAGCUCUUUCUUGAUUUCGUGGGUGGUGGUGCAUGGCCGUUCUUAGUUGGUGGAGUGAUUUGUCUGGUUAAUUCCGAUAACGAACGAGACUCUGUCCUGCUAACUAGUGUCUGCUUCUUUUCUGAGCAGAUUAUUCUUCUUAGAGGGACUGGUAGCUCUUAGCUACACGAGAUUGAGCAAUA
rnacentral:rRNA from 1 species